rnacentral:tRNA from 1 species
GGCUAAUUAUGGAGUUAGUAUAAACUCAAUCAAUGCUUUCAAAACACUAUUAUCAUA